AGAAUCAACGCUGGCGGCGUGCCUAACACAUGCAAGUCGAACGAGAAAGUGGAGCAAUCCAUGAGUACAGUGGCGUACGGGUGAGUAACACGUGACUAACCUACCCUCGAGUGGGGAAUAACCUCGGGAAACCGGGGCUAAUACCGCAUAAUAUCUUCGGAUCAAAUGCGCAAGCAGCUUGAGGAGGGGGUCGCGGCCGAUUAGCUAGUUGGCGGGGUAAUGGCCCACCAAGGCAGUGAUCGGUAGCCGGCCUGAGAGGGCGCACGGCCACACUGGAACUGAAACACGGUCCAGACUCCUACGGGAGGCAGCAGUGGGGAAUUUUGCGCAAUGGGGGAAACCCUGACGCAGCAACGCCGCGUGGAGGAUGAAGCCCCUUGGGGUGUAAACUCCUUUCGAUCGGGACGAUUAUGACGGUACCGGAAGAAGAAGCACCGGCUAACUCUGCGCCAGCAGCCGC
rnacentral:rRNA from 1 species